GUGUAGAGGCUGGAAGGCGUUAGGGAGGGAGAGCGUGAGAGACGGGGUGCACAUUCCCUGAAGUGACGGUGAGGGAUUUAUUCCCUGCGUCUCUCUCUCUUUCUCUCUCUCUCUCUCUGAAAGGACAGUCUGGAAUGUGAGGCCUUCCUGGUGCUGGUGAGGGGAGCGACCUGAUUGCCACGGCAACCACAGCAGGCCUUCAGGAAGGCCCUUCGCCCAACAACCGCCAUCUGUUUGUGGAGAGCGAGUUGUUGGCCGGGGUCGAGCGGUUGAGUCUUACAGAGAGUGCGAGAGAGAAAGGGCACGAAGAAACGCCAAGCGAAACGUUCACCCAGCUUCAGUCUCCGGGGGGGGCAAGGAGACGCCUACAUUCCUGGGUUGGCGGCACCGCUGGGGUGAAAGGUCAUUCAGCGCCAACAUCGUUCGCCUGGGCCCGUUUCCUCGCCGGCCUCUCCGGCUCGCUGCAAUGUUCUUCACACUGAAGUAUGGAGAUGACAAGACGGCCCUGUUCAACCUGUACUGCCGGGUCCACGUGCUCAUGGAUCACAUCAGGGCCCACUGUAACUGUGGCCCUCAAGAGGAAGUUGAUCUCAGUGACGUGUCUGGGGAUGGUGAAAAAUUUGUCAAUGUUUCCGGCGCUGUAUGCAUCUGAGCUGCUCAAAGAGCGAGAGGUGCUGAUCCUAGUUAAAGU